GCGUAUAAAGCGGAUGAAUACUUAGAACUACUACGAAUCUGAGGGUCGGACGUUCGAAUCGUUCCGGGCGCGCCA
rnacentral:tRNA from 1 species